UUACAUACCUAGCAGGGGAGACACCAGGCAGCUGGUUUUCCCAAAGCAAGGUUCAUCCCCUGCACUCUAGGUGUCCCAACCCCUGUGAUUUCCCAAAAUGCAGGAAAUUUGACUGCAUAAUUUUUAGUAGUGGAGGACUGUUUUAGCAGGAGCUUUGG
ensembl:snRNA U1 U1 spliceosomal RNA